rnacentral:rRNA from 1 species
AUCAUAUGGCUGUCUCAAAAGGAUUAAGCAACAUGCAUAGUGUAAGUAUGCAAACUAAUUCAGACUGUGAAACUGCGAAUGGCUCAUUAAUCAGUUAUAGUUUGUUUGAUGGUACCUGGCUACCGAUACCGUAAGUUAAUUCUAGAGCUAAUACAGUGCAAGCAAACCCCAGACUUCUGGAAGGGAUGCAUUUAUUAGAUAAAAGGUCGACGCGGGCAUAAUACGCCCGUUCUACUGAUGAUUCAUGAUAACUUCGACGGGUCGCACGGCACGUGCCGGCGACAGCAUCAUUCAAAUUUCUGCCCUAUCAACUUUCGAUGGUAGGAUAGAGGCCUACCAUGGUGGUGACGGGUGACGGAGAAUUAGGGUUCCGAUUCGGCAGAGGGAGCCUGAGAACGGCUCAACAUCCAAGGAAGGCAGCAGGCGCGCAAAUUACGCCAAUCUGACACGGGGAGGUAGGACAAUAAAUAACAUACCGGGCUCUUACGAGUCUGGUAAUUGGAAUGAGUACAAGCUAAAUCCUUACCGAGGAUCCAUUGAGGGGCUAAGUUGGUGCAGCAGCCGCGGUAAUUCCAGCUCCAAUAGCGUCUAUUUAAGUUGUUGGCAGUUAAAAAGCUCGUACGUUGGACCUUGGGAAUGGGUCGAUGCGGACUCCGCCUUUGGUGUGCAAUCGGUCGCCUCGUCGCUUCUACCGGCGUGCGCCACUCUACAGAGACAUCUGGAGGAGCAUUAUAGGUGCAUAAUGUCUUACAGUCUCUGGCGAUCUACGGGUCCGUGCCUCCGGUGCCUGUUACUUUGAAGAAAUUAGAGUGCUCAAUAGCCAAGCCUACGCUCUGGAUACUUCAGCAUAGGGAAUAACAGUGACGUAGGAUUAUCGAUCCUAUUGUGUUGGCGCUUCGCGAUCGAGAGUAAUGAUUAAGCAGGGACACGUCGGGGCAUUUCGUAUUUCAUAUCAGUAGGAGGUGAAAUUCUGGAUUUUAAUGAAAGACCGAAGUCAACUGCGAAACAUUUGCCAAGGAUGUUAUUCGAUUAAUCCAAGAAAGAACAGUUGGGGGCUCGACAGACGAUCAGAUAUACCGUCCUAGUUCACAACCAUAGAAACGAUGCCGACCAGGGAUCGGCGGAAGUUGCUUUUAGGACUCCGCCGGCCACCUUAUGAGAAAUCAAAAGUCUUUGGGUUCCGGGGGGAGUAUGGUCGCAAGGCUGAAGUAAGGAAUUGACGGAAGGGACACCACCAGGAGUGGAGCCUGCGGCUUAAUUAUGACUCAACACGGGGAAUACUUACCAGGUCCAAGACAUAGUAGGAUUGACAGACUGAUAGCUCGUUUCUUGUGUCUAUGGGUGGUGGUGCAUGGCGCGUUCUUAGUUGGUGGAGCGAUUUGUCUGGUUCAAUUUCCGUUAUCACGAGAACGGACCUCAGGCCUGAAACUAAGCUAUGCGGAGGUGUCCUCCGUGCCAGUCUUCUUAGAGGGACUAUGGGCCUUCUAGGCCAAGUGGUUCUGUGAUGGCCGCUUAGAUGUUCUGGGCCGGCAGCGCGCUACACUGAUAGUACUUCAACGAGUCUAUAUGCCUUGGCCGACCGGGGCCGGGUAAUCUUUGAAAUUUCAUCGUGAUCGUGGGGAAUAGAAAGGGAAAUUUAGAUCGAAAUUUGCAGGGAUUGAUUUUGGUGUCUUCAAACGAGGAAAUUCCUAGUAAGCGCGAGUCAUCAGGCUCGCGUUGACUACGUCCCUGCCUUUGUACAGCCCUGAGCGUACCAGUGUUUUAUUGAGGUGUGGCGACACAGGUAGGAUUAAUCCGUCGCAGGAUUGUUACACGUCGGAUCUUCAUUCACAUAUCUUGAUCAUAUGAGAGGGUAGCCCGCGAUUGCGCAAUGGUCCGGUGAAGUGUUCGGAUC